rnacentral:rRNA from 1 species
UACAGAGACUGCGAGCGUUAUUCGGAUUCACUGGGCGUAAAGGGUGCGCAGGCGGCCAAGUGUGUGAGGCGUGAAAGCCUGGGGCUUAACUCCAGAAUUGCACCUCAAACUACAUGGCUAGAGCAUUGGAGAGGGUAGCAGAAUUCACGGUGUAGCAGUGAAAUGCGUAGAUAUCGUCUGGAACGCCAAAGGUGAAAAACAGCUCGCUGGGGUUGUGCUGACGCUGAGACACGAAAGCCAGGGGAGCGAACGGGG